GAGGAUGUAGCUUAGUGAGAGAGCGCUCACUUCGCAUGUGAGAGGCUCCGGGUUCAAACACCGGCAUCUAUA
rnacentral:tRNA from 1 species